UACAGAGGGUGCGAGCGUUGUUCGGAAUUAUUGGGCGUAAAGGGCGCGUAGGCGGUGCGGUAAGUCACCUGUGAAAUCUCCUGGCUCAACUGGGAGCUUGCAGGCGAAACUGCCGUGCUGGAGUGUGGGAGAGGUGCGUGGAAUUCCUGGUGUAGCGGUGAAAUGCGUAGAUAUCAGGAGGAACACCUGUGGCGAAGGCAAUCCCCUGGGCCUGCACUGACGCUCAUGCACGAAAGCGUGGGGAGCAAACAGG
rnacentral:rRNA from 1 species